AUCUUCCGUUUUCCGGUGAGGCGACAGGGAGUCCCAUUCCUGACGAACCGUCCCCCUUCAAUAAUAGGUGCUCUCCACAGCUGCGAGUGUGACUUCUUUUGGAGUGACACUCGGUAGUGGAGGGGGAGUGUGUAGGGGGCUGUUUGGGAUUCAGCCCGAGAGAUAGUAAGAGUUGCGACACUUCCCAUAGGGUGCUGUUGUACGCUUUCUUCUGGUCUACUUCCGGGUUGUGGAGGCUUGUUUAGUUCCUAGCACCGCUUCGACAGUGAUAGCCACCGUUCAUUUGCACUGCAGGUUGUUGAGUAUAUGUGGAGUAUCCCGAGAGCCCUCACUGAAGACACGAAAACCCUCAUCAAAGUGUACUAAGCCAGAAAUGAGAGGCUUACAGAUGCACAACACAUUUUAAAUCAUUUUCGUCCCUCAUGGUUGCUGGUGCUGGGGACAGGUGCUGGUGCCUGCUGGUGCCUGCUGGUGCCUGCUGGUGGCGACUGCUGGCGGCGACUGCUGGCUGUGGCCACUGAGGGACACUGGAUUCUGCGGGCAGUGUGCUUGGAUUUGAGAGGCCGAGUAUGUCCAUGACAACGAGAAAGGUAUUUGGCAGUGGCCUUACUGUUGUGACCUUCGGUGAGGAAGUCUGCCCAGUUUUUGUUGCCUUUUUUGUCUGACUCUUGCUGCCAAGGUGUCCCUUGUCACGGAUAUUUAUCUUCCUCUCAGCCCUGAUGCACUUCAGUUGAAUUCUCAAUCUCAGCCUGAUGUAAGUUGUCACAUUUUUUUUUUCAACUCAUGGCAUGAGGGAAGGUUGCUGUUCAGACUCAUGGCCUCUCUUUCCAGCUCUGCCACGACAUUGGUGUGCCAACCUGGUGUGCAAAGUGUUGAAUAUGUUCUCUCCCUAUUUUACUUCAUCUACUUUUUAGUGUCCAGGACACACAUGAAGAGGAUGUCUCCCCACACACAAAUCAUUUGAUUAUUUUUUUAUUAUUUCAAAAAUAAUUGUAAAAAAAUAACAUGUUGUUGUUUCUCCCAUUGUCAAUAAAACAUACUAUUUCAUUCAUCAAAGCAUAA